rnacentral:ncRNA from 1 species
GACAAUAUGUUGAUAGGAAGUAGUAACAAGAGAUGUUUCUUGUAGAGAGUCGGUGGUUGGUGAGAACCGAUAGAAACUGCUUGUGAAUCCAUCCUAGAGUGAAAUGUGGAACGCCAUAUCGGUUAUUAUACAUUUCCGGUGAAGAGCCGUUAUAUUCUACUGAGAGGAAAGCAUUUAUGCUUUCAAUUAGGGUGGCAACGCGGGUUAACUCUCGUCCCUUUU